AUUGUAGGAGAGGGUGGAGCAGUGGUGUAGUCUAAUGUAUUGUAGUGGCUAUACUGUACGGUAUAUAUCUUUGGCCAGAAUCUGCCUUUGGGGGCAUAUCAUAGUGGGAGGUCUGGGUGUCUUCUCUAUGGAAGUUUGGAGCUUCAAGGACUUAAUUUCCUGUAUUCAGAUGCACUUUUAUGCACCAAUC